rnacentral:rRNA from 1 species
UACAGAGGUCCCAAGCGUUGUUCGGAUUCAUUGGGCGUAAAGGGUGCGUAGGUGGCGAGGCAAGUCUGGUGUGAAAUCCCGGGGCUCAACCCCGGAACUGCACUGGAUACUGCUUUGCUAGAGUACUGGGAGAGGGACUGGAAUUUACGGUGUAGCAGUGAAAUGCGUAGAUAUCGUAAGGAAGACCAGUGGCGAAGGCGAGUUCCUGGACAGUUACUGACACUGAGGCACG